rnacentral:rRNA from 1 species
AGGGAAUCUUCCACAAUGGACGCAAGUCUGAUGGAGCAACGCCGCGUGAGUGAAGAAGGCUUUCGGGUCGUAAAACUCUGUUAUUGAAGAAGAACGUGUGUGACAGUAACUGGUCAUGCAGUGACGGUAUUCAAUCAGAAAGUCACGGCUAACUACGUGCCAGCAGCCGCGGUAAUACGUAGGUGGCAAGCGUUGUCCGGAUUUAUUGGGCGUAAAGCGAGUGUAGGCGGUCUUUUAAGUCUGAUGUGAAAGCCUUCGGCUUAACCGAAGAAGGGCAUCGGAAACUGGGAGACUUGAGUGCAGAAGAGGAGAGUGGAACUCCAUGUGUAGCGGUGAAAUGCGUAGAUAUAUGGAAGAACACCAGUGGCGAAGGCGGCUCUCCGGUCUGUAACUGACGCUGAGGCUCGAAAGUGUGGGUAGCAAACAGGAUUAGAUACCCUGGUAGU